rnacentral:rRNA from 1 species
UUUCCUACGGGGGGAAGCAGUGGGGAAUAGUGGGUAAUGGGUGAAAGCCUGACCCAGCAACGCCGCGUGAAGGAAGAAGGCUUUCGGGUUGUAAACUUCUUUUCUCAGGGACGAAGAAAGUGACGGUACCUGAGGAAUAAGCCACGGCUAACUACGUGCCAGCAGCCGCGGUAAUACGUAGGUGGCAAGCGUUAUCCGGAUUUACUGGGUGUAAAGGGCGUGUAGGCGGGAAAGCAAGUCAGAUGUGUAAACCAUGGGCUCAACCUGUGGCCUGCAUUUGAAACUGUUUUUCUUGAGUACUGGAG